AUGCUUCAAUAUUUGGACAUUUCCAAAAACAAUCUUCAUGGUAGGGUUCCAGUGGAGAUCUUUAGAAUCCCAACAAUAUUUGUAAUUGAUUUAUCUUUCAAUAACCUUAUUGGACAACUUCCUACUGACAUGGGCAAUGCCAAACAACUUGUAUAUUUGGUACUUUCAUCAAAUAAGCUAUAUGGAGAUAUUCCAAGCACUCUCGGUGAUUGUAAAAGUUUAGAAUACAUUGAGUUAGACUCGAAUAAUUUCAGCGGAAGCAUUCCCACUUCAUUAGGCAACAUAAGCAGCCUAAAAUUCUGA
rnacentral:rRNA from 1 species